CCUACGGGAGGCAGCAGUGAGGAAUAUUGGUCAAUGGGCGAGAGCCUGAACCAGCCAAGUCGCGUGAAGGAUGACGGCCCUACGGGUUGUAAACUUCUUUUGUCAGGGAGCAAUUGAGUCCACGUGUGGGCUUAGCGAGAGUACCUGAAGAAAAAGCAUCGGAUAACUCCGUGCCAGCAGCCGCGGUAAUACGGAGGUUGCGAGCGUUAUCCGGAUUUAUUGGGGUUAAAGGGUGCGUAGGCGGAAUAUCAAGUCAGCGGGAAAAAUUCGGGGCUCAACCCCGUCGGUCCGUUGAAACUGAUGUUCUUGAGUGGGCGAGAAGUAUGCGGCAUGAGUGGUGUAGCGGUGAGAUGCAUAGAUAUAACGCAGAACUCCGAUUGCGAAGGCAGCAUACCGGCGCCCAACUGACGCUGAAGCACGAAAGCGUGGGUAUCGAACAGGAUUAGAUACCCCUGUAGUC
rnacentral:rRNA from 1 species